CUAUUAAUUGUAGACCCGUAUGAAAGGCAUAAUGAGGGUUCAACUGUCUCUUUUAGUAAAUCAAUUAAACUGAUCUUCUAGUCAAAAAGCUAGAAUUAUAUCAUAAGACCAGAAGACCCUGUGAAGCUUUAACUAAACUGUUAAACCAUAUAACAACUACUUUCGGUUGGGGCGACCUUGGAAAAAAAAGGAACUUCCAAACUCAUAUUAUAUAAAAAUGGCUAACAAGCCACACAAAGACCCAGSUAAAGCUGACAACUGAACCAAGUUACUCCAGGGAUAACAGCGCUAUCUUCUUCAAGAGCCCAUAUCAAAAAGAAGGUUUACGACCUCGAUGUUGGAUCAGGACAUCCCAAUGGUCGAGCCGCUAUUA
rnacentral:rRNA from 1 species